rnacentral:rRNA from 1 species
UACAUGGGGUGCAAACGUUGCUCGGAAUCAUUGGGCGUAAAGCGCGCGUAGGCGGUUACUUAAGUCGAAUGUGAAAGCCCUCGGCUCAACCGAGGAAGUGCGCCCGAAACUGCAGAGCUUGAGUACCGGAGAGGAUGGCGGAAUUCCCCAAGUAGAGGUGAAAUUCGUAGAUAUGGGGAGGAACACCGGUGGCGAAGGCGGCCAUCUGGACGGAUACUGACGCUGAGACGCGAAAGCGUGGGUAGCAAACAGG